UGUAUGGCUAGUCGGUCGCUAGCAUUUUACAUAGCAACCAAACGUUACGGUUAGCAACAUAAUGAUCCGUUUAUAACUUCAUGUCUCUUGUGUUCAUAAAAACAAAAGCGUUGAAGACCGGAUUGGCGUCCGAGUGUCCGAGUCCAAACCCAGUGUGUUUCUUUCCACGUCGAUAUCUGGCCGGGUCUUUUGUAUGGAUCGAUUCAUGCUGUGCAAGUGAAUUCAGCUGCUGUGCGAUCGCCUUCAAGUACCACCGUGAAGGCGAACCCCAACAGCUGUGGCGAGCCUGGCCUUCAGAUAAGAACUGUUGAUAUAACUGAAUGAAUGAGAUUCUUUUCUUUUGUUUUGUUUUGUUUUCUUCUUCUUUUGUAAUACACUGUAUUCAACAUUUCAUGCUAUAAGCUUAGCUUCUAUUACCUGUCCUAUUUAAAUAUUUCUAUCUACUCACCCGGGUGAUUUGGCCUAGUUGUCUAUUGGAAUAUAUCUGGUGAAUGUAGUUGCAGAUUUAACCGUCUGCAACAUAUAUUUUUAUUUUUAAUUAUUUAUUUUAUUUGAAUCUGCAGAUUCUGUUUUGUUUAUCUGAUUGUUGUUUGUUUAUGUCCAUCUUAUUGGACAGAUAGCCUAAGUACACUAAGUUAUUCACUCACCAAUUUAUGAAAUAUUAAUACUCCCCUACUUAUCAUCUUGAUUAUUCUUAAUACAAUAUUUCUAACUUACAAA